CUGCUGGUAAAGGUCAUUACGUAUUACUUUACUUACCGGAGGAAAAGAAACCAACAGGGAUUGCCUUAGUAACGGCGAGUGAAGCGGCAACAGCUCAAAUUUGAAAUCUGGCUCCUUCGGGGUCCGAGUUGUAAUUUGUAGAGGAUGCUUCGAGUUAUGGUUCCUUCCGAGUUCCCUGGAACGGGACGCCAUAGAGGGUGAGAGCCCCGUCUGGUAGGAAACCAUGCUCAUGUGAAGCUCCCUCGACGAGUCGAGUAGUUUGGGAAUGCUGCUCUAAAUGGGAGGUAUACUCCUUCCAAGGCUAAAUACCGGUUAGAGACCGAUAGCGCACAAGUAGAGUGAUCGAAAGAUGAAAAGCACUUUGAAAAGAGAGUCAAACAGCACGUGAAAUUGUUAAAAGGGAAGCGCUCGCUACCAGACGUGGGUUCGGUGGUUCAACCAGGUCCAUGACCUGGGGCACUCCGCCGGCCCAGGCCAGCAUCAGUUUCCGUCGGGGGCAAAGGCGUCGGGAAUGUGGCUCUCCUUCGGGGGAGUGUUAUAGCCCGUCGCGUCAUACCCUUCGGGGGGCUGAGGUACGCGCUCCGCAAGGAUGCUGGCGUAAUGGUAGCUAGUGACCCGUCUUGAAACACGGACCAAGGAGUCAACCUUAUGUGCGAGUGCCCGGGCGUAAAACCCCAGCGCGGAAUGAAAGUGAACGUAGGUGAGAGCUUCGGCGCAUCACCGACCGAUCCUGAUGUCCUCGGACGGAUUUGAGUGAGAGCAUAUAGGGUUGGACCCGAAAGAAGAUGAACUAUGCGUGUGUAGGGUGAAGCCAGAGGAAACUCUGGUGGAGGCUCGCAGCGGUUCUGACGUGCAAAUCGAUCGUCAAACAUGGCAUGGGGGCGAAAGACUAAUCGAAUCUUCUGGUAGCUGGUUUCCGCCGAAGUUUCCCUCAGGAUAGCAGUGUUGAUCCCAGUUUUAUGAGGUAAAGCGAAUGAUUAGGGACUCGGGGG
rnacentral:rRNA from 1 species